UACGUAGGGGGCUAGCGUUGUCCGGAAUCAUUGGGCGUAAAGCGCGCGUAGGCGGCCAGAUAAGUCCGGUGUGAAAGUCACAGGCUCAACCUGUGAAUGCCGCUGGAAACUGUCUGGCUUGAGUCCGGAAGAGGAGAGUGGAAUUCCUGGUGUAGCGGUGAAAUGCGCAGAUAUCAGGAAGAACACCCGUGGCGAAGGCGGCUCUCUGGGACGGUACUGACGCUGAGACGCGAAAGCGUGGGGAGCGAACAGG
rnacentral:rRNA from 1 species